GCUCUUUCAGGGACGCUGUAAGAAUAACAGCCAAGACUCCCUCCUCUGAAAGGUAUCUGAUGGCUGCUUGUCAAUGGGCUUUGUUUUAAUAGUGCAGAGUCAGUAUAUAAUUAAUGCAGACUUUUAUGAAUCCAGAUUUUACCCUCAAUGUUGCUUCUAUUUUAAAAAGUAGUGAAUAAGAAUCUGAAACCAAGAGGAUGUCAAAUCACUUCUCUCAUUCAGGACCUGGAAGGGAGUCCAUCCAGGGAAUUCUCCAGGGACUUAUCAGAGUUGCUGGAAGAAAACAGCUGAGGAUUGAGCACAGUGAACUAAUUUCCUCACAUCUUUGAAUAAGCAGAAGUUGGUGAAAAGGAAUGUAAAUAUUCUUAUGGUAAAAUGAGUUCAAAAAGAAUCCUUAAAUCCUUAAAAUUAAUAAACCAAUAAAACAAAACAUAAGACUGCACAAUUAUUUGCAUGGCUGAUAAGAAGAAGGAAAAUAAUUCCAGAUAUCUUUUUGAAGAAAGGAACAAUAAAACAGGCAUAUUAAAAAAUAAAACCACAUUAAAAAUUAUUCAAUAGAAAAAAAUAUAGAAGUCACCAAAUACGAGAAAGUAAACUUUGUUUUAUUGACACAGAAUACUUUUAAGAGCGAUGAUUUGAGGUGUUAACUUCCUUUACUUCCUGAUCCAUUGUCCAGAACUUCUGAAGUUGUUCCUUUCUACAUUUUCUACCUUCUCAUGUACCUUUCACCUUCCCUGUUCAGCAGGGCUUGUCAGAAAACUUAAUUUUUGGUGAGGGAUGGAAGGUGGAGUUGGAACAGGUUCUUUCUCUGUCGGCCCAGCUGGAGUGCAGUGGUGUGAUCACAGCUUACUGCAGCCUUAAACUCCUGGGCUCAAUAGAUCCUCCCACCACAGCCUCCUGAAUAGCUGGAAUUAUAGGUGUGAGCCAUCGUGUCCAGCUAGAAAGCUUCAUUUUCUGAAUUAUUUACUUCUUAUAUUCUGCAUCUAUGGUUACAUAUUUUUCAGUUGUCAGAACUGGCACUGAACUUUCAGAGGCACAUUUUUAAAAUAUAAAGUUAUCCUUCAUUUUACAAAGAUGAUACUACUGAUUGGCUAUCAAUAUUAGGUGCUUCAGGUUGUUUUCUUGAAGUGAGGAUGGAUUUACAUUGCCUACUCACAUUUUCCAACAUGGUUCCCUGGCAACUACGGGCAUUAAUUUAGGUGAGGGUUUUUCAGGACUGCAGAUGCAGAUUAGGGUCAUGGAAUAGGAUAGUGGUUCUUAAAUUUUGUUGCAGAUAAGAAUCAUCUAGGGAGUUCUUUAAAAAUCUUGAUAUCGGCCGGGUGUGGUGGCUCUCGCCUGUAAUCCCAGCACUUUGGAAGGCCGAGGCGGGCGGAUCACAAGGUCAGGAGAUCGAGACCAUCCUGGCCAACAUGGUGAAACCCCGUCUCUACUAAAAAUACAAAAAAAUUAGCUGGGCGUGGUGGCGGGUGCCUGUAGUCCAAGCUACUUGUGAAGCUGAGGCAGGAGAAUGGUGUGAACCUGGGAGGCGGAGCUUGCAGUGAGCUGAGAUCGCGCCACUGCACUGUAAAACAACAACAACAACAACAACAACAAAACCUUGAUAUCUAGGUCACACCACUUAUCAAUGAAAUCCAAAUUUCUGGAUAAGAGUUCCAGGCAUUAGAUUUAUUGUUUUAAAAUCUAUAUUCAUUAUAUAUGUGGGUGUAUGGUUUUGAUUUUUUAUAAUUUUUAAAACAGCUUUAUUGAGAUGUCAUUAACAUACAGUAAAUUUUGACAUAUGUAUACACUUAUGAAACCAUCAUCACAAUCAAGAUAAUAAAUAUAUCCAUACAUUUUUUGCAAGCUCCUUGAUAAUCUCUUCCUCCUGCCCCUCCUUGCCCUUUCCAGGAAACAAUUCAUCUGCUUUCUGCCACUAUAGAUUGGCCUGCACUUUCUACAAUUGUAUAUAAAUAGAAUCAUGCAGUAUAUACUCUAUUUGGUCUCUCUUCUUUCAUCAGAAAGAAGUUACAUGUAUCAAAAGCUCAUUUAAAAAAUAUUGCUGAGUAGUAUCCCAUUGUGUGGAAAAAACAUAAUUUAUCAGUUCACUUAUUAAUGGACACUUGAGUUGUGACUAUUACAAAUAAAGCUGCUAUGAACAUUCAUGUACAAUAUUUGUAGAGACAGACAUGCCUUCCUUAUGUUUUUGCAUAAAUAUGUAAAAAUAGAAUUAAGUAAAUGGAUGCUUCAGUUUUAAGAAUCUGACAAACAUUUUUCCAAAGUGGCUAACCCUUUUACAUUUUUAUCAGCAUUAAAUAUUAUUUCAGUUCCUCCACAUCCUUGCCAACAUUUGGUGUGGUUAGUCUUUUAAAUUUUAGCCAUUUCUAAUAGGUACAUACUGGUGUCUUAUUAUAGUUUUAAUAUGUAUUUUGUUAAUGACAAAUGAUGUUGAGCAUAUUUUCAUGUGUUUCUUUGCUAAUCGUAUAUAUUCUUUGGUAAAGUGUCUGUUCAAUUUUUUAAAGAUUGGAUCAUUUGUCCUUUUAUUUUUGAGUAGGAAGGGUUUUUCAAUGUAAUUCUAGAUAAAAGUUUAUUGUCAGCUAUAUGUCUUGCAAAUAGUUUCUCCCACUCUGUUAAAAGUUUUUAACUUUGCUGAAGUCCAGUUUAUUGAAUUUUUCUUUUAUGAUUUGUGCUUUUGCCAAGCUCAAGGACACUAGGAGUUUCUUCUGUUUUUUUUUUUUUUAAUACUAGAAGUUGAAUAAUUUUGCUCCUUUAUGUAGUUCUAUGAUGUAUUUGAAUUAAUUGUCAGGAAAGGGUCAAGGUGUAUUUAUUUUUUUCUGUAUUGAUAUCUAGUUUUUCCAGAACCAUUUGCCAAAAAGAUUAUCCUUUCUCUUGCUGAAUUAUAUUGGUCACUUGGUUGAACAUCAAUUAAUUAUAAACAUGUGGGUUAAUUUCUAAACUCUUUUCUGUUGCAUUGAUCUAUUUGCCUACUUUUGUACCAAUGCCACACUGUCUUGAUUGCCAUAGCUUUAUAAUAAACCUUGAAAUCUGGUAGCAUAAGUCCUCCAUCUUUAUUUUUCUUAAAAAAAUUUUGCCUUUCAGGGGUCUUUGAAUUUUCAUAUACAUUUUAGAGUCUGCUUGUUAAAGAAAAGGGCUUCUAGAAUUUUGAUUAGCAUUGUAUUGAACAUAUAGAUCAAAUAUUAACAAUAUUAAGUCUUUAAAUAUAUAAAUGUGGUAUGUGGUAUGAGUCUCCAUUUAUUUACAAUUUCUUUAAUUUUUUUCAGCAGUGUUUUAUCAUUUUCAAUGUUCAAGUCUCACAUAUCAUUUGUUAAAUUUAUUCCAAAAUAUUUCAUAUUUGUGAUGUUACUGUAAAUACUGUUUUUCUGAAUUUCAAUUUCUGAUUAUUCACUGUUAGUAUAUGCAAAUUAUAAUUUAUUUUUGUAUUCUGAUCUUUUAGUCUGUAACCUUGCUAAAAUAAUUUAUUAAUUCUACCAGUUUUUUUUAUAGGUUUUGUAGGAUUUUCUACAUAGAAAUUAUGUUGUUUUCUAAUAAAGACAGCUUUAACUUCCUUCACUCCAA